CUCCUCCUGGAACGUUCUUCAUAUACUUUUUAUGUGAUUCACACCUACAAAAACAGAAGAAUUAUUUCUGACAAUGCUUCUGUUAUAACUACUGUUUUCAGCUGCCUAAAGACUAGCAUGCUGACACAUCAAAGAAUAUAAUCAGGCCCAAAUUCAGCUGGGGAGGAAGAAGUGCCUGAGACCAGCAAAGAUGCCCGCAUUGUCUUAGUCCUGGGUUAUACUGUAUUAUGAAGCAUC